GAGUUACUUGCAUUUGAACUGAAUCUUAUGGACUUGCAUUUUGGUAUGUUAUUUGUCAACCAAGACAUUGUUUGCUUAUUGAAGUGCACACAUCCAGAAGAGCCGUUUUCCAGUUCAUUAAUGUGUCUCUGUAUUAGCUGCACAAACUGACCAGAAUUGGAGUCAGUUGCUGUAAAUAAUGCCUAUCAUAAAUCAAAGCACUGAAAGUGCUGAGGGACGGUGCCUCUGGUGUAUAUGCAGAAACAUAUACAGGGAGAGCUGCCUGGUUUCAAAAUCGUCGUUGUUAUCAACUAUUGACAGUUUGGUUAUUUCAAGAGCCAACUUUCGUCAUGCAUGACUAUUUUUUAUGAAUGCAUGUUAAGCAAGUGAUCACUUCGUACGAAGUUGCGUACAAAGAUUUCUGCGACCGUUUUAUUAACGCUUUCGUACGUAAUUACUCUUCAAAAGGGGGAAGAAUCAGACGAAAAUGUAAACAAACAGUAGAUGCAAUCUUUUGAAAGAAAAGCUCAGUCAUCUGAGAUGCAGUGUUGCAGCACUGAAAAGCAUUGGGUGCCCAUCAUAGAGUGUUUCUCUUUGCCUGCAAUCAGGAUACAUCAACUGACCUUUGAACUGUGUUUUCCAACUUGGGAUUCAAACACAUGCCCUCUUGGGUAGGAGAAAGUCAGACAAACACCUGUGGCUAUAUCACUAUACUUCUUCAAGUUUCGCUCUAUGAGUGAUCAUGAUGUGAAAUAAAACAAAAUGCAGUCAUCUUUUUGUCAUAUUAAAUAAGUUAUGAACAAAUAAAAUAUAUCAAACAUUUUAUUCAUUCGUUAUUUUGACAAACAGUAUGAAUAAACAUACAUGUAUACCAAUAGACAAACAAAUAAUUGGUAAAGAAUGGGCACAAAAAUAUGAGAAUAUUGAAGUUGGAGAUUUAUUGUUAAUAUUGAUUUUAAUGUGACAGAAUAUGCCCCAAUUUGCCAAAAAGCAUUGAAUAUCAAAUGACAAUUCUUGGAUUCUCAAAAUUCUGCCCAAAUGAGUAUAGAUCUGUGAGUUGCUGUUUGGUAUUUGUUCAUAAAAGUCAUGAUAUAUAAAUCAGUU